rnacentral:rRNA from 1 species
UACGUAGGGUGCAAGCGUUAAUCGGAAUUACUGGGCGUAAAGCGUGCGCAGGCGGCUUUGCAAGACAGAUGUGAAAUCCCCGGGCUUAACCUGGGAACUGCAUUUGUGACUGCAUGGCUAGAGUGCGGCAGAGGGGGAUGGAAUUCCGCGUGUAGCAGUGAAAUGCGUAGAUAUGCGGAGGAACACCGUUGGCGAAGGCAAUCCCCUGGGCCUGCACUGACGCUCAUGCACGAAAGCGUGGGGAGCAAACAGG